rnacentral:ncRNA from 1 species
UCACAUUAUAAAAUUUUAUAAUAUAUUAUAUUCAUGAAAAAUUAUAAAAAUAAAUUUAAUUUUUAUAAAUCUAAUAUUAUUUAAUAUAUAAAGAACAAUUAAUUAAAUAACUAACUAAUUAUUUAAGUGCCAGCAGUUGCGGUUAUCCUUUUAGUUAAAUUAUAUUUUUAUAAACUUAUCUAUAUUUUAUAAAAAAUCAAUCUAUUAAAAGUAAAAUUUCUUUAAUUUUACAAAAUUUAUAUAAAUAAAAGUUAUAGUUUUCAAACUUAAAAUAGGAUUAGAAACCCUAGUAUAUUAAAAUAAAUAAAAGUAAUAAUAAUUUAUUACAAAACUUAUUUACAACGGCGGCAUUUCAUUUUACUAGAGGAACUUGUUUAUUAAUCGACAACCCCCGAUAAUUUUUACUUUAUAAUAAAAUUUAUAUACCGCCAUCAAAAGAACUAAUUAUAAAAUAUUAUUCUAAAUAAAUAAUAAAAUGUUAGGUCAAGGUGUAAUUUACAUUAAAGAAUAAAUGAGUUACAUUAAAAUUUAAUUAACGAAUAAUUAAUAUUAAUCUUUUAAGAAAUAGGAUUUAGAAGUAAAUUUCUUAAAUACAAUAAUAUUAAAAUUUGAAUAAAAUUAUAAUAUGUGCACAUAUCGCCCGUCACCCUUAUCAUAAGAUAAGGUAAGUCGUAACAUAGUUGAUAUUUUGGAAAAAGUAUCAA